ACUCAAAGGAAUUGACGGGGACCCGCACAAGCGGUGGAUGAUGUGGUUUAAUUCGAAGCUACGCGAAGAACCUUACCGAGGUUUGACAUCCCAGGAAUCCGCUGGAAACAGUGGAGUGCCGUAAGGAACCUGGUGACAGGUGCUGCAUGGCCGUCGUCAGCUCGUGUCGUGAGAUGUUGGGUUAAGUCCCGCAACGAGCGCAACCCUUGUCGUGUGUUGUAUUUUUCACGCGAGACUGCCCGGGCCAACCGGGAGGAAGGUGGGGAUGAUGUCAGGUCAGCAUGGCCCUUACACCUCGGGCUACACACGUCAUACAAUGGCCGGUACAACGCGUUGCCAAAACGCAAGUUGGAGCUAAUCGCAACAAAACCGGUCUCAGUUCGGAUUGGAGGCUGCAACUCGCCUCCAUGAAGUCGGAAUCGCUAGUAAACGUGGGUCAGCAUACCGCGUUGAAUACGUUCCCGGGUCUUGUACACACCGCCCGU
rnacentral:rRNA from 1 species